UCUGGUUUUUCUACAGAUCAUAUAAAUCUUUUGCCUUUUACUAAUGAUUUCUGUGGAGAGGAACAUUAAAGA
rnacentral:snRNA from 1 species